UAAAGUGAAUUUAAAUUUGAGUGGCAUGAAAAUAAGUAUUAUAUAUGUUCUUAUUCAGCAGUCGGGCGGUGAGGUAGCGUAGUGGUUAAAGCGUUGGCUCGUCACGCCGAAGACCCGGGUUUGAAUCCCCACAUGGGUACAAUGUGUGAAGCCCAUAUCUGGUGAUCCCCGCCGUGAUGUUGCUGGAAUAUUGCUAAAAGCGGCGUAAAACCAAACUCAGUCAGUCAGUCAGUAUUCAGCAGUCAAAAAUAUAAAUAGAUUCCAGAAUCAUCAAACUCAUGUGCACUGUUAAUAAAGACUGUGCCCUUGUGAGCCCACGCAAGACAUCCAUCAGUAGGUCAGACUAGCUGUCUAGGCUCAAACCACUGCUGUGGCCUUUCAGUUUUGAACGCAACCCUGGUGAGUUUGUUCGUGUUGUGUUGACAAGUUAUAUUUCAGUAAGUCCUGUCUGUGUGUCAGAUGGACAUUGGUGUACCAGCAGCGAUGAUGUUUUGUGUAUUUUACGAUCAUGUAUUUGAUUGCUGUAUUUUUGCGGAAAGUAUAUACCUUUGACAAGCCUCUGUUCGGAGGGGAGGGUAUGACUGAGUUGAUUCUCGUCCUUGCGAUGAAAAAUUAGUUCUGAGAUUUAUUCUUCGUUGCAAAAUUGUAGUAUUUGAAUUAAUUAUGAAAAUGAAAUGUCACAUGAAUAUAAACUGAAGGGCAAAAGAAACAACACUUCCCCAUUGAUUUUAUCAUAUGUGGGAUUUUCAAUUAAUAAUGUAUUUUUUACGAUGUAUACAAAAAAUGUGAAAAAGUCAAAUCUUUUUAAAAAUAUACAACACCUGAUGGCUGUCUUAGACAUCUUAUCUGUUAUAUAUUUGCCUUUUAGGUCACAAAUUUACAACGUUUCAAAUACAGUAGGGAUCAUGUGGUUGCAAAUUCAUUUCUUACCCCAUCUACAUUGAACAAUUUACUUUUACAGAAAAUUCAAUCUCAGUAUGUUUUCAUUUUCCCCCUCAGUUUGAUUCCAUACAAAAUAGAAUUUAGACAAGAGUUGUAAAGGUUAACAUGAAAGGAAAUAUAUUGUGUACAAUAUUGAGUGAUGUUCACUCUCAUAUCUUCCCCAAAGGACAAGAUGUGAUGACACAGACUUCAAAUAAUAAUCCCAAGUAUACUUCUUGACAACUAAUCUCAAAUAUUUGGUUUGAUGCAUCUUUAAAUGGGCAACAGUAGACCUGCCUAUAAACUUCCAUUUUCCUGUUGUGUGUGAGUUUACAUUAAAUGUUGCUCAGCACAGCAUGUUCUCAGAUCUGAAAAUGGUAGGGAUCAAAACCGAACCUUGUCUACUCCCAGUGUCAAUUAAGUGCUUAGCACUGAACUCUGCUUGAGGGUCUCUUGCUCCACUUUAAGUGCAUCAAGCUCAAGUAAAUAUGUUUUCACAAGCUGAAUGUGUGAUUUAAUUUAAUAAUGAAAUAAAUGCAAAUAUCUUUGAAGAAAGUAAACCUUACAGUUGUUGCAGUUAGAACACUAACCUCUUAUGUUGUGAAUCAGAUUCAUUAAUGAGAGAACAUGCCUGUUGACCGGUCCUAUAUGUCAAGUCUUGUCACUCAAGUGUCAGAUCUAUAACCUGUUACUAAACAAGAGCCUUAUUUAACUGAAAGGUAGCAUAUUUCAACCUGUGAAGGUAGCUGAGGCAGCCUCUUCCUGCUGACUCUUCUGUGAUGCAAACUGGUGAAAAUAUAACAAACCCAUUGUCAAUUCAUCUCAUCAGAAGCAGAAUUACUGGAGGCAACAACACUGUCAUGUUUGAUGAGACUUGAGUCUGUGAUACAGUGAAUCAGCCAAACAAUAUCCUGAUGGUCCAUCUUAGCCAAUACAAUUGGUUGCUGGGGUGUUUCAGCCAAUCAAAUUGGCUGUUUCAUCCAUGUCAAUAAGAUUGGCUGACUGUGCUUGUUAAGGAGCCAAUCAAAUUGGCUUUAUUUUGAGUUCAGCCAAUUAAAUUGGCUUGACAUGGUCAAAGAGGACAUUUAGUCAGCUUUUUUUAAAAAGCUAAAUUUGAAUUUAACACAUGUUUGUUUGUUUGUUUGUUUGUAUGACAUUAUUAUGCCCUUACUGGUGCUUUUAUCUGAUGUAAAAUAUCAACUAUGACAUAUAAUACCAUUUGAUAUGAAAGCUCACACUGACAUGUGUGACAAUAAUAUUCACUUACAUUAUAUAUAUUUUUCUUAUAUUAUGUUUAAAAAAAAAACAUGCCUUCUACUGUACGGUAUUUACAUUUAUCCUUUUCUUUUGGAAACUGUAAAACAGACUAAUGUAAAUAUUUCUGGAAUUGUUUAUCACUUGAAACAACACAAUUUGUCACUGAAGCUGUGAAGGGACUUUGGAGAUCUCACCGUCAACUAAAAGUUCAUCCCAAGCUACAUCUUCCUGUUCACUUUGUAUUCAUCGAUGAUGUUUCAACUUUUUGCAGAUUCAUAGAUUAUUUUGUAAAGAGUGUAAUUUUAGUGUAUGAAAAUUAUCACCAAAAAACGUACACUGUGUGAUGUGUUUUAGAUUUUGUUGUCUAUUUUGAGAUGAAAGGUUCCAGUAUAAUUUCAUGCAGUGGACUUGCUUUAAAUCUAAUACCUGGAUAUCUAAACACAUUCAGACACUGUUGUAUGAGGUUGAAGCCACAUAUGGAUAUACUUCACCUUAUCCAAAGUUCAACACAACUGUAGAAUGAGUCCAAUGCAACAGUGUUUGACUACAUCAAUAUCCAGAAUGAUAUAGAAGUACUUUAUACAGGCCAGAUAAUUGAUAUUAGAUUUUCAUCCUCAUCCUCGUCAUUACCAGACAUCCCAGCUCGCAUUAUUGUUUUGUCCUAUAAUAUUUGCUGUCAGAAAAAAAAUCACCUUAUAUUUUUGUCAGUUGGUUUCCAAGACUACGCAGCAGAAAAAAUGGACUAAGACAAAACUUAGUUGGACACUACUUCUUCAUAUGUGAAUAAAGAAAACUGGAGAAUAUCGGUAGGUAUGAUGAAAUAACAAGCCUAUAAAGUUUUGUUCAGACCCAAAAGAAUUGAGCCCCAGUCGAUCUUUCGAUAUCUUGCCAUGUUAAACUUGUUCGCUGUUAGAAACAGUGCUGAUC